rnacentral:rRNA from 1 species
UACAGAGGGUGCGAGCGUUAAUCGGAAUUACUGGGCGUAAAGCGCACGUAGGCGGCUUGGUAUGUCGGGUGUGAAAUCCCCGGGCUCAACCUGGGAAUGGCGAUGGUGACUGCAAGGCUAGAGUUUGGCAGAGGGGGUAGAAUUCCACGUGUAGCAGUGAAAUGCGUAGAUAUGUGGAGGAACACCGAUGGCGAAGGCAGCCCCUGGGUCAAAACUGACGCUCAUGCACGAAAGCGUGGGGAGCAAACAGG